ACAAUUGCUGUCUGCAGCUUUUUAUUUAUUUAUUUUGAAAGUUUGAAAGAAAUUGAAAGUUAUUCACAAUGAAUUUUGGUUGCUGCACGAAACUGGUAUAAGUUAGCAACAGCAACUAAGGUUGGUCAUUUUUUUUGCAAAAUAAACCCAGUUCAGGAUGAUCGGAACACAGAAGCAUAUCUUAAAUUGAAAAUUGAUGGUUCGUUUCAAGAUCUUAUUGAAAUGCACCCUCCUCCAUUUUCUUUAAUCUAGCAAUGAUUCUGCAUGACACAUUUGUUCUUAAUGGAAAGGCGUCUUAAAGACAAACAUGGAUUGAGGAAGACAAAAAGCUACAGGAGGUGCUCUGUAACCUAUUGGUUCCAGGACCGGCCUCUCUGAACUCUUUCUGUGACCCCAAUUUCAUCCUAUGUCCAUGGUCUCUUUGGACGCUGCAGUCACCCGUAAUUGGUUUUGACAUUCUGUGUUUCGCAGUGUGUGUGAACAAGCUGUCUUUGGUGUACCAUGUCCAUGAGGUUCAUGGGAAGAAGCUAGCAAAGCCCUGCCCAAAUCUAAGCUUCCCCCUCCUCUUGUCUCCUCCUCUCCGGUCUAGAUCCAUUGGCUGGCAUCUCUGUGGUGGAAUGCUGCUGGGACCCCCUUCUAACCUCCUCUCAACCCUCCCCUUGAGUCCACCCAUCCACCCAUUAGGAAUUCCAGCAGGGCACUGUGGGUGGGAUGAAUGGCAUGAGAGCCAAGGAAAUGAAAUUUCACCACCCUCGACGUCAGUGGCGCCUCUGCCUGUGAUGUCAGACGGUCUGAGGCUGUCACAAUUGUUAGCCGUGUGCCUGAUGUCUCAAGCCUCCCCUAUUUACAGAUCCAGCAAAUCCAGGCACCCAAACAACCCCAUCCACCACCAUUCAUCCUCUAAAUACUGAUAAAAACAACUGCCUGACCACAGACGCAGUGGAAUGUGCUUUGCAGUGUUUCACAAAGGCAGACGGUCUCUCAGACAGCUGCCAAUUCUCCCACAAAUGUGCGAGUCUGGGGUUCACGGGAGGUAGAACCUCAAAAAAAAAAACAAAAAAAAACGUCUGUGUAGAUGCCGCUACCUUCGUGGCCGGGCUUUCUGUUACAUUGGGCCCAAAUCCAAAGCUCUGGAUGAGCUUAAACUUGCCGUCCUUUUCCAAAUCUGCACGGACAAGUCCUCCCUACCGCCACAUGUUUUUAAUUACAGCAGCAUUUGAUCAAAUGUUGCCAACAGGGCAAGACGGAGAUCGUAAUAUGUAAAGCUCAAAGCUUUAACGUCUGAGUCAGGAUUUAAGUUUUUUACAAAAACCAAACAUCUAUGACUUGUUUGCAUGCAAAACACUUGUGGUCUCUCAUCUACACGCAACAAAUCUCUGCAUUUGCGAGAGUGGUUUACGGCUGUCUAAGACUCUGUCUGGCUGUGGCCUUCCUGCCCUACAUUCAUCAUGUGUCUCAUCACUGUUUUUCUUCUUUUUCCUCCCCGCCUGGCUGAAAGCGUGAGCGUGUCAUGAAGAGCAGACACAGUCCUAAACCACCAGACAGUGUCUCACUCCUGCUCUGAAUCAUAGGCGAGUUGUGAAAGGGGAGCAGCUGGGUAUCUGCGUGUGGCAGACAGAGGCCGUACAGCUCAUCCCGUUCCUUCUGUCUGUCGCUGGGGAGGGAAUCUCUGGGAGUCCAUUUGGCUGAGCUCCGCCACCUGCACAUACCUUCUCCAUAAUGUAACCGCCUAAAGGCCCAAGCCUCAGACUCUGUAUUUUCUAAUCAAGCAUCCCAGCCAAAUCCUCUCAACGUUUCCGUCCGCCUGCAUCCAAAUUAGGCAGGACAUUUUUCCAGCUGUCAGGCCCAAAAAUAUUCAUUUAAAUCUGGGGUUUUCAAAGCGAUGCCAAGAAAGCCCAAAUAUGAAAUGUUUUCUUAUUUUUGUGACAUUAUUAAGUCAACAUUUUGUUUCCUAAAUUAAAUAAUUUGCUUUUUAUAUUGUUAUUGUAUCAAAGCAAAUGAUUAAAAUAUUAUCUGGAAAAUAUUUACUUUGCAUUAACCUGACACUCUGAUGUUGUGUAUAAACCAGAAAUGACUUUCGAUUCAGACUUAUUUGAAUAGCAUUUUUCAUAAUAAAUUUGAUUCUAAAGCAUUUUGUAAAAAGCAAAAAAAAAAAAAAAAACAUUCAAAAUACAUACAAAAAUACUGUUGUAGCCAUUUAAGAAAGUGUAUUUUCUUGUAUAUUAUUUAUGUUUAAAUAUUAUUGGUUUGUGGUUUGUUUAAUUCAAUUUGCUAAUUAAGAAAAUUGUAAACGUCAUAAGGGGCGGUAAAUCGAAUGACGCCAGAAGAAGGGAAGUGGGUCAGACAUAAUUUUAUGACCACUUCAUAGGUUUUGUUUGUAGAAUUCUUUUCUUUGGAACAAAUUUCGUUUGGUAUAAUGUGUAUCUUAAUUUGAAUGCAUUUUUUGUUGGUCAGUUACUUGUCUAAAUAAAUUAAAUGAAGAAUAAGCAAACGUUUCACAAAAUGACGUGCGUUCAGAACAAGGCCCGCUACCAUGCUUCUGCGGCCAAAACAAAGGCCGAAACUAUAUAUACAGUACAGACCAAAAGUUUGGAAACAUUACUAUUUUAUGUUUUUGAAAGAAGUUUCAUCUGUUCAUCAAGCCUAGAUUUAUUUGAUCAAAAAUACAGAAAAAACUGUAAUAUUGUGAAAUAUUAUUACAACUUAAAAUAAUAGUUUUCUAUUUGAAUAUACUUUAAAAAAAUAAUUUAUUCCUGUGAUGCAAAGCUGAAUUUUCAGCAACAUUACUUCAGCCUUCAGUGUCACAUGUAACAUCCAGUCUAUCACAUGAUAAUUUAGAAAUCAUUCUAAUA
ensembl:lncRNA